AUUGAACGCUGGCGGCAUGCCUUACACAUGCAAGUCGAACGGCAGCACGGGUGCUUGCACCUGGUGGCGAGUGGCGAACGGGUGAGUAAUACAUCGGAACAUGUCCUGUAGUGGGGGAUAGCCCGGCGAAAGCCGGAUUAAUACCGCAUACGAUCUACGGAUGAAAGCGGGGGCCCUUCGGGCCUCGCGCUUUAGGGUUGGCCGAUGGCUGAUUAGGUAGUUGGUGGGGUAAAGGCCUACCAAGGCGACGAUCAGUAGCUGGUCUGAGAGGACGACCAGCCACACUGGGACUGAGACACGGCCCAGACUCCUACGGGAGGCAGCAGUGGGGAAUUUUGGACAAUGGGCGAAAGCCUGAUCCAGCAAUGCCGCGUGUGUGAAGAAGGCCUUCGGGUUGUAAAGCACUUUUGUCCGGAAAGAAAUCCUUGGCCCUAAUACGGUCGGGGGAUGACGGUACCGGAAGAAUAAGCACCGGCUAACUACGUG
rnacentral:rRNA from 1 species